rnacentral:rRNA from 1 species
CCCUUAGAUGUUCUGGGCCGCACGCGUGCUGCACUGAGUGGAUCAGCGGGUCAGGUUGCGCGAAAGUGUUUCCUAAUCUUGAAAUCCGCUCGUGAUGGGGAUUGACGGUUGCAAUUUUCCGUCAUGAACGAGGAAUACCUUGUAAGCGCGGGUCAUCAUCCCGCGCUGAAUACGUCCCUGCCCUUUGUACACACCGCCCGUCGCUCCUACCGAUUGAGUGGUCCGGUGAGGCUUUGGGAUCUGAGCGGAAAGAGCGUUUCGCUGUUUCUGCUCGGAAAACUCAGUCGAACCUUAUCAUUUAGAGGAAGGAGAAGUCGUAACA